CAUGAACUGUCUCCUUCUCUUCUCCUUGCGGCAGAUUGGGGGAGGAUGAUUUCUGGGGGUUUGUGUGAUGUAGAAUGGAUUAUGGAUGGUGUAGGGGCACGGCAAGGCUUGGGGGUAGUGUAUGGGUGUUGUGUGGAAGGUGUGGAGUGGAGAUGAAGAAUGGUGGUGGAAAUCGGCAGAGAUGGAGGAGGACUGGUUUCUGAGGUUGUGGAUGGGUUUUUGACGAAUUUGGGAGAGUGUGUGGCUGAAUGGAGAUGUUUGUGGCUGCACAAACAUGUUUAUUUAAAGGGAUUAGGAAAUUAAAAAACCCUAGACUAAUUAGGUAAUCAGGAAUUAAGUUUAAAGCUUCUAGAAUUAAGGAAACAAAUCAGAAAAUUAAAGGAAAUAGCAAGGGAAAUUCGGCUAGGGUUAAAAACACAAAAGGAAAGUGUUUUAAGCCUAGAAUCAGGAAAUAAGAAAGAGGAAAUACCAAGGGGGGUGCGGCAAGGGUUCAAAAGGUGCAAGAAAUGUGUAUUUGAUGUCCUAGAAUGCUUAGGAAGUCUUCAUAAUUGCUGGAACUUUUAGGGACAAUUAGGAAAAAUCAAACCAAAGUAGGAAACCUUGGCUU
rnacentral:lncRNA from 1 species